rnacentral:lncRNA from 1 species
CCAGAGAGGGUCAGGCUCUUCUCUGGCAUCACAGACGAAGUGAGUGGGAAAGGCCAAACCUGAACCCAGGCCUCUGUCCUUUCCUCCCCCCAGAUGAGGCCAGACCACGGACACUCCACCCAGACAUGAAGACAGGAUUGCCAGGAAUGACCCAGAGGCAGCAUCCGGGCCUGCCAGCCCCUGACCCUAACCCCAGGACUCACCCCGCCUGAGUGAGGCCCCAGGGACCCACCAAGGAAGCAUCUCCAGGCCCAGCAAAAGGGCAGGCUAUGGGCAAGGCAGGGAUGGACAGGCAGAGUCAGGACGGUCCACCCCCCUCAAAAGAAACGC